rnacentral:rRNA from 1 species
AUGUCUAAGUAUAAACGUUCAAUAAACGUGAAACCGCGAAUGGCUCAUUAAAACAGCUAUAAUUUACUUGAUUUUGACACAAUCCUACACUUGGAUAACUGUGGUAAUUCUAGAGCUAAUACAUGCAUUAAAGCUCUGACCUCCUCACGGAAAGAGUGCAUUUAUUAGAACAAAACCAAGCGGCUUCGGCUGUUUUCGGUUGACUCAUAGUAACUGAGCUGAUCGCAUGGUCUUGCACCGGCGACGUGUCUUUCAAGUAUCUGCCGUAUCAACUUUUGAUGGUUCUUUAUUGGAGAACCAUGGUUAUAACGGGUAACGGAGAAUUAGGGUUCGACUACGGAGAGGGAGCCUGAGAAACGGCUACCACAUCCAAGGAAGGCAGCAGGCGCGAAAAUUACCCACUCUCAGUGCGAGGAGGUAGUGACGAAAAAUAACAAGGCUGAUCGCUUUGCGAGCAGCUAUUGGAAUGGGUACAAUUUAAACCCUUUAACGAGGACCUAUGAGAGGGCAAGUCUGGUGCCAGCAGCCGCGGUAAUUCCAGCUCUCAAAAUGUACUUAACCAUUGUUGCGGUUAAAAAGCUCGUAGUUGGAUCUACGCUGCGCGGAACGGUUCGUUCAUUGAGCGUUAACUGUUUCACGUGGCUCUCUUUUGUCGGUUUUCGGCUAGUGCCCUUAACGGGGUGUUAGUUGCGGCUGACGCUUUUACCUUGAAUAAAUUAGAGUGCUUAAAACAGGCGUUUAGCUUGAAUAUGCUAGCAUGGAAUAAUGGAAUAGGACUUUGGUUCGAUUUUAUUGGUUUUAUGAAUUGAAGUAAUGAUUAGUAGGAUCAAACGGGGGCAUCCGUAUUGAUACGUGAGAGGUGAAAUUCUGGGACCGUAGCAAGACGACCGACUGCGAAAGCAUUUGCCAAGAAUG